rnacentral:sRNA from 1 species
UUUGUUUCGAAAGCCCAAACAUGAGCAUC